UCGUGAUAACAUCUUUGCUGCUGCGUUUCUCUUGGCUAACUUCUUGGAGGUUCCACUGCCUGCAGAGAUCCAGGAGAUUGAGAAUGAGAAAUGUCAUGGUGAACUCUUUCCGAUGUGCUGGACCGGACUCCUGAGUGACGGUGUAUUCUGGCAAACGCCAUCCUUUCUGCACCACCAGUUCCUAGCAGAGAGGAACACAAACAUGGUUACAUUCGGACUGCUGAGAACUGCCUGAGGUCUUCAUUUCAGACUGGGAGCUGUGCAGAGAAUGAGAUAAAACAAACACAGAAGAGGAAAUACUGAAACCACACUGGCUUCUUCUCUCAAAGAAGGUCAAUGACUUGACAUCCCGUCAGAUAUACAGAACAUACUAAGAUGUUAAAUCUGAAAAACAUCUACUGACUCU